UACGAAGGGGGCUAGCGUUGCUCGGAAUCACUGGGCGUAAAGGGUGUGCAGGCGGGGAAGCAAGUGGUGUAUGAAAUCUCCCAGCUUAACUGGGAUAGGUUAUGCCAGACUGCUUUUCUAGAGGACGAGAGAGGGGGGUGGAAUUCCGGGUGUAGUGGUGAAAUGCGUAGAGAUCCGGAGGAACCCCAGAGGCGAAGGCGGCCCCCUGGCUCGUACCUGACGCUCAGCCACGAAAGCAUGGGGAGCGAACGGG
rnacentral:rRNA from 1 species